UUGGGUCAAGUGGUCUCAAUCCCACUCAGUUGGGGAAUCGCUGGGCAUUUUCUUUGAUUAGGGAGGAGGCUUCCCUGCCAAGGUCAAGACCAAGCAUGCAUCUGAGAAUUCUCAGAGGUCUUGAGGCUGGGAGGGAGGUUACUGCCCAGUCUUUGAAAUAAACCCAAAGAGAGGGACAGGGAGGAACAGAAGGUCUGUUAGGGCUCUGACGAUUAAAAUGAAACUAAGAAAUGCCGCCUGGCCGGUGAGUGGGAGCAGUCAUGUAAGUUGUACACGUGCAACCCAGAGUUGAACUUUCCCCUCUAUUGUUACAAACUGAAAAUGGGAAAAAGAGAAGUAGAUUCAGGUAAAGACAUCUUAAGAAGAACAUAUCUCUGUGAUGAAGUGGAAGGGGGACCAGAAGGAAAUGAGCAUUUUACACGACAGGCACUGUGCUAAGCACUUUACAAGUAUUAUCUCCUUUGAUGAAGUCCUACCAAGGUGAUUAUUUCAUCCUCCCUUCCUAAUUUCUCCUCUAACCUGUCUCCUCGGCCUACCGUGAUGACUGUUGUCCUCAGUCAGGAUUUUCCCUGCCCUUGGUAAUUCACUUGUCAAGACCCAGUCUUGAAUAAAUAAAUAAAUGUGAUUCUUUGCCUUUGA